UACGGAGGGUGCUAGCGUUGUUCGGAAUUACUGGGCGUAAAGGGCGCGUAGGCGGCCGUUUGCGUCGGAUGUGAAAGCCCGGGGCUCAACCUCGGAACGGCAUUCGAUACGGGACGGCUGGAGACCGGGAGAGGAGUGUGGAAUAGCCAGUGUAGAGGUGAAAUUCGUAGAUAUUGGCUGGAACACCGGUGGCGAAAGCGGCUCUCUGGCCCGGUUCUGACGCUGAGGCGCGAAAGCGUGGGGAGCAAACAGG
rnacentral:rRNA from 1 species